rnacentral:sRNA from 1 species
CUUCUUUCUGACCUUUGUGGGACAGUAAUGAGCACAACUGAUGUGGAAAAAUCAUUUGAUAAAUUGUUGAAAGAUCUACCUGAAUUAGCACUGGAUACUCCUAGAGCACCACAGUUGGUGGGCCAGUUUAUUGCUAGAGCUGUUGGAGAUGGAAUUUUAUGUAAUACCUAUAUUGAUAGUUACAAAGGAACUGUAGAUUGUGUGCAGGCUAGAGCUGCUCUGGAUAAGGCUACCGUGCUUCUGAGUAUGUCUAAAGGUGGAAAGCGUAAAGAUAGUGUGUGGGGCUCUGGAGGUGGGCAGCAAUCUGUCAAUCACCUUGUUAAAGAGAUUGAUAUGCUGCUGAAAGAAUAUUUACUCUCUGGAGACAUAUCUGAAGCUGAACAUUGCCUUAAGGAGCUGGAAGUACCUCAUUUUCACCAUGAGCUUGUAUAUGAAGGUUAUGAGAGAAUUUACAAUGAAAUUCCGGACAUUAAUCUGGAUGUCCCACAUUCAUACUCUGUGCUGGAGCGGUUUGUAGAAGAAUGUUUUCAG